rnacentral:rRNA from 1 species
CGAACGCUGGCGGCGUGCUUACCACAUGCAAGUCGAACGGAAAGGCCCUGCUUUUGUGGGGUGCUCGAGUGGCGAACGGGUGAGUAACACGUGAGUAACCUGCCCUUGACUUUGGGAUAACUUCAGGAAACUGGGGCUAAUACCGGAUAGGAGCUCCUGCUGCAUGGUGGGGGUUGGAAAGUUUCGGCGGUUGGGGAUGGACUCGCGGCUUAUCAGCUUGUUGGUGGGGUAGUGGCUUACCAAGGCUUUGACGGGUAGCCGGCCUGAGAGGGUGACCGGCCACAUUGGGACUGAGAUACGGCCCAGACUCCUACGGGAGGCAGCAGUGGGGAAUAUUGCACAAUGGGCGGAAGCCUGAUGCAGCAACGCCGCGUGCGGGAUGACGGACUUCGGGUUGUAAACCGCUUUCGCCUGUGACGAAGCGUGAGUGACGGUAAUGGGUAAAGAAGCACCGGCUAACUACGUGC